UACGAAGGGGCUAGCGUUGCUCGGAAUCACUGGGCGUAAAGGGUGCGUAGGCAGGUCUUUAAGUCAGGGGUGAAAUCCUGGAGCUCAACUCCAGAACUGCCUUUGAUACUGAAGAUCUUGAGUUCGGGAGAGGUGAGUGGAACUGCGAGUGUAGAGGUGAAAUUCGUAGAUAUUCGCAAGAACACCAGUGGCGAAGGCGGCUCACUGGCCCGAUACUGACGCUGAGGCACGAAAGCGUGGGAGCAACAGG
rnacentral:rRNA from 1 species